UAAAGAAUUUCGGUCAUCGAUGGGGAUGCGUUCCAUUAGCUUGUUGGCGGGGUAACGGCCCACCAAGGCAUCGAUGGAUAGGGGUUCUGAGAGGAAGGUCCCCCACAUUGGAACUGAGACACGGUCCAAACUCCUACGGGAGGCAGCAGUGAGGAAUAUUGGUCAAUGGGCGCUAGCCUGAACCAGCCAAGUAGCGUGAAGGAUGACUGCCCUAUGGGUUGUAAACUUCUUUUAUAUGGGAAUAAAGUGCAGUAUGUAUACUGCUUUGCAUGUACCUUAUGAAUAAGGAUCGGCUAACUCCGUGCCAGCAGCCGCGGUAAUACGGAGGAUCCGAGCGUUAUCCGGAUUUAUUGGGUUUAAAGGGAGCGUAGGCGGGUUGUUAAGUCAGUUGUGAAAGUUUGCGGCUCAACCGUAAAAUUGCAGUUGAUACUGGCAUCCUUGAGUACAGUAGAGGUAGGCGGAAUUCGUGGUGUAGCGGUGAAAUGCUUAGAUAUCACGAAGAACUCCGAUUGCGAAGGCAGCCUGCUGGACUGUAACUGACGCUGAUGCUCGAAAGUGUGGGUAUCAAACAGGAUUAGAUACCCUGGUAGUCCACACAG
rnacentral:rRNA from 1 species